ensembl:lncRNA
GUGAGAAUAUAGCCUUUGUGCUCCCGAGCUCAGGCUGGGCUCCCUCCGGGGCGAUCUGUCAGCUCAGACUUUCUCUCUUGGCUUUAUUUAUUUGUUUGGCGUCUCAAAGGGCGGUCGGUGGGGCAGGGAAUCGUCUGGGGCCGCCCGACAACGGGAAAGCUCAGGGUCUGUUGAUGCCAGGGGGGGUUUAGGGGGGGUUGGGGGGGUCUCCGUGCCCCCCAUUCCCAAACACGAGAGCUGCAGGUAUGAUCCCACCCAUGGAAGUCCCUCCUAUAGGGAGGAAUGGGGAGACGCUGCAGGUUGGGGACGUCGGCACCGGUUGCUGUGACUGAGUGUCCCCAUCCCCACACGAGGAUGUCCCAGUAUAUCCCAGAGGUGCUCCCAUGGUGCAAGCCUGGAGGACCUCUGUUGGCCAAGACUGGGUUCCAUGUCCACAUGAAGAUUCCCCAUUACACCCCAGAGGUGUUCCCAUGGCAUCACAUGAGCCUGGAGGACCACUGUUGGCCAAGCCCAGCUUCCAUGUCCGUAGGAGGAUCUCCCACUGCACCCUACAGAUGUUCUUAUGGCACUGGGAGAGCCUGGAGGACCACUGUGGGCCAAAGCCAGGUUCCACGUCCACAUGAGGAUGUCCCAAAACAUCUUAGAGGCAUUCCCAUUGAGCCAUGUGAGCCUUGAGAAACCCCUGUUGGCCAAGGCCAGGUUCCACGUCCACAUGAGGAUGUCCCAGCACACCCUUGAGGUGCUCCCAUGGCAUCGUGUGAGCCCUGAGGGCCACUUUUGGCUCUGAGAUGGUCGCAGCGUGGUGAGAUGGCUCUGGGCUGGUUGAGUUUUGUUGGCUUUGUGGGACCCCAAGCAUCCACUUCAGGGGGACCUCGUCUUCUACUCAGCCAAAUGACUCCGGGUGCUGCAGGGCGAUGGCAAACGCAAGGAGACAUUCAACCACGGGCUGCCCUGACCCCAUUCCUGCUCCCCACGGGGGUGGGGACAAAAGAUUUGUGAUUUGUAACCCAUCAGGUCCCCAAAAAGCACUUUUCUGUCUCCCUCCGAGCUCCACACCGGAGACGCCGGGCUGCCCCUACCCCAAUUCCCUCCCACCGCAGACGUCGAUCCGCGCAGGCGAAUGGAAACACGGCGCUGGCGAGAGGCUCCCCUGCAGAGCAGUUCCUCAUCCCGACCUGCAACGCACACAAAGAGCAAUUCAGGUGGAGUUACCCCGAGGAGAUUUAUGGCGUCCAGGGAGGCGCACGCGAUCCGAUACCAAAGCAUGAAUCAAAGCAGGACAGCCGGGAUGUAUUUACAUCUGCGCCGCGCGCGCGCGCCGACGUCGCAAGGAGAACACAAAGUCAGUUGGCAAUGGAUGACUGCUGCGGGCUCUGGGGGUGGUGGGGGCACCUCUGAGCUUCGUGGGUGUAAAAGGGAAUGGGAAGGAUGAUGGUAAUCGAUGGGGUUGCGCUGCAUGGCUUCCCAAGGCCGAGCCAAGGGAUGUAUGUGUGAGGAAAUGGCGGGGGUUUCAUGGCUGGGGGGUAUAUCUGAGAGGAAAGCCCUUGGGUUUCAUGGCUGGGGAUGUAUUUGAGAGGAAAGCCCUUGGGUUUCAUGGCUGGGGGCAUGUUUUAGAAGAAAGCCCUUGGGUUUAGCAGUGGCUGUGGAUGGUGAAGCAUCCAUGCGUCCUCACAUCGGUUGGGUUGCGUGGGCACUCCGGUCCAACUCUGUUAUCCAACAUUUCAACCCAUACAAAGCCCAGUGGUGUCACCACGUGGUGCAGCACCAACCCCACUACCUGGGGUGGUGAUUUUGGGCCCCUUCUGCCAGGAAAUGGCUCACGCCGUGUGAAAACACCCAACCCAGAGCUGUGACAUGGUGUGGGACCUUUUGGUUCACCAUUGGGGCUUUCCGGAAAGACUCAUUCCAUGAUGGAUGAACUUUUAAUGGAGAGAAAUAGACAGCCCUGCUUUAAGUGCGGGGUUUAAGUGAAGCCAAUGAUUUAAACAACUUAAAGUCCAUUAAACAAAGGGAGAACUUGGAUCUCAUCAACUCAUUCAUUCUGAGAAGCGCCCGGCCUGGGAUAAACCUGACACUGAGGAGUCAUCUGAGCAUUGCUAAAACAUACGCUUGCCUUCGUAAUGAAAUGUUUUUAAGGGACCAUAAUGGUUACCGUGAGGGCGGUUUGCGUUAGAACCAUUUGAAUUCCCUCAGCUGAGAUCCUUCAAUAGGUGCCCAUCCACUAAUGGAAAGGAGACAUUUCGGAGACGUGAAGGAGUUGGAGACAUUUCGGCCCUAUUUGGAAGAGGUGGGGGCACAGGGAGCGGUGCCAGCCCCUUCCCCAUCUCCACACCCCCACAUUUUCCCCUCCUUUCGUCCCAGGUGGAAAUGGAUGGAAGCCAAACGUGCCAUAAGACGAAGUGUGCUGAUGGGAAGCGGAGCCCAUCGCCUCCAUCACUGACAAACAGGGAGAGGUGGGGUUGGUGGUCGCUGGUUUUCCACUCGCAGUGGUCCAUCAGGGUUACGGAUGCUCUGUGGGUAACAGAAAAUGGUCAUAAUACCCCCCCAGGUUCAGUGCUUUGGGGUUUCUCAGCAUGUUACCAGCGGGCACCAAUCAGGGUGGGGAGGACGAGAGCCUCAUUUCUCCCCAAGCAGAUAAAAUUUCUCCUCUUCCCAUCCACACAAACCCCAGCCAUAAAUCCUCAGGCUCGAGCAAAUGCAGGGCAGAAGUUUAAAGCAAACCUUACGAUUUUAAUGCCCGGGCUCAACGAAGCAUGGAAACAUUUGCUCAGCAUUAAGUGUGUGCUUAGCACCCCGCAGGAGCCCAGAGCUGCACACAGCAGUGCAGGAACUCCCUUCUUCCUCCCCAAUUCAUCCCCUGUAGGAGCAGAGCACGGAGGCAGCGAGCCAAGCGUCCGGCCAACGCUGCAGCAAGAUUUAUGGGAGGGGAAGGGACCCGCUUUCUUCCCUGUGAUUAAUAAGGAGAAGACAAGAAACCUCCUCAGAGCCCCAAUGGAGGCAUUUCCCUGGUUUGAUGGGGUCAACGAGAGCCGAAUUCCAGCCGAUGUAGAUAUAAUUUCAUCGGGGGGUUGGAGGGUCCCUUCCAUCCCUCCCACUGCUGCAAGAAGAGAACUGGAAGCGUCUCCUCCCUCCGUGCUGCUCCAGGGCUCGGUGACCCUGCAGCGAUGUUCGGUCCUGGCAGCGGCGUGGCAACGUUCCUGGGAGGAAAACAGAGGAAAUGGGGGUCUGCUCUGCAAAACCCCACCCUGGGAUGCAAGGAUCCAAAAGCCAUCGGGACGUCGCAUUUACCGACGCCAUUCAUCUACACCCAUCCCCAGGACGGGCUGCAGGAGCCGCGCUGGUGGUCCCAGCCAUUAGCAGAGCCCUGAGGAUGAGCUCCCAGCCCUCUCCCCCAGCCCUGUCCUUGCACAUCAUCCGCCCUCACAUCACUGUUGGAUGUGGCACCGGAGCCCUCGGCGCGGGCCACAACUCAGGUUGGCAGCUGAGCAUCCUGGAGCGGGCCGAGCGCGGCCGGGAGCUGUAAUUCUUACCCUGCAUUCCCUGCCAGCUCUGCUCCCCGGUGGCACAUAGAUCACCCAGAGGUGUGGAUGGAGAGCAGGCGAUGUAAAUCACAUUAAACUCCACGCGUGGAGCUGCUCGUUCCGAACGCAGCCAGCCUUAAUUCGGUUUAGCUUUGCGAAUUAAGCUCAAGUGAAUUAAACCAACUCUAAUUCUGGCUAAGUGUCCAGAAUGGGGUUUUAUGUGCUCUGGCUAAUCCAUUUUAAAGGUUGAUUUGGGUUAACGUGAUGGAUGUCCCUUUGUGGGUACCUCUCGGUGCCGCCAGGCUCGCCUGGCCAGGAUUUAUGGUACGGCAGCAACCAGAGCCAUCCACCCCAUGACCUGCGCCAGCACCACGAGCUCCCUCAUUUCCCAGGGAGUGCUACAGAUGAGCUUCAACUGCUUUCCCAAAGGGCAGCGUCUGUUCAUUUUUUCUAGCAGACCAGUGUUGGGUUGAGUCCCGUGUUCCAUUCCAGUAUUGAAGGCAGCAUCCAUCCGAUCUUGCCAACCAAUACGCAUCGGGUUGAGUCAAACUGUUCCAUUGCGUUGUCGAAGGGCAGCAUCCAUCUGACCUUGCCAACCAGCCGGCAUUGGGUUGAGUCCCACUUUCCACUCCAGUAUCAAAGGGCAGAACCCAUCUGGUCUUGCCAGCCAAUCAGCAUUGGGUUGAGUCCCACUUUCCAUUCCAGUAUAGAAGGACGACGUCCCUUCUGGCUUUGCCAACCAAUUGGGUUGAGUCAAACUGCUCCAUUCCACCGUCACAGGGCAGCAGCCCUCCAGCUCUGCCAACAAACCACCCUUGGGUUGAGUCCAAUGAUCCAUUCCAAGAGAGGAGACACAUUUGGGGCACUGCUCUGAAGGUUCCUCUCUCCUCAGUGGGGGAUUCAUGGGGGGUUUGCAAUUAGCACCACAGCGUAGACCCGAAGGUGCUGAUUUCUCUCUUCAUUGAGUGCAGAGAAUUUGGGGCACGGAGCUCCUUAUUUAGGCACGUCUCCUGAAUGACCAACGCUGUGCAGAUGGAAAGUGCACACAGCUAAUGAGUGCCAUUACGUCUCACCCCUCUGGUUCAAAAUGAGGACAGGACCAUCAUCACCUCCCAGCCUUCGCAAUGCUGCUCGUGUAAAGGGGGGUCGAGAGGAGGGCCCAAUGCAUCCCACACCAAGAGCAUCGCCACGUGGGAUCACGCAGCAGCCGGACCCCAAACGUCCCCUCUUCCCAAAAUCAGCCUGGAUGCGUUUCUGAGAAGAGCGCGGUCCCCUUGACUUUGUCCUUACAACAUCGGCAGUGAAUCCUGCAGCCUCCACCCUCGCUCCUCUCGCAGAGCAGCCAAUUGGCAGCGGAUCAAUGCAGGAGAGAGUCAGCAGGAGGGCAGCGAGAUGAAUUAUUUCCCUCUGGGAGGCGGAGGGCAGAGCCCAGAGCUGCCCCACAGCCCGCAGGCAGGGCGCUUAUAGGGCGAGCAUCGGGAUGGAAGCAGCGUGGCAGGAUGUGUUUCGCUGCGUCCCCCCGCACCCCACGCGUGGCCGUAAGGGCGAUUAGCUCGGUUAAUUUAGCCCCGGGUUGAGGGUGGAAGACAACGUGGAGGCUCCCCGCCCAUCUGCAAAGGGCUUUGGGUCGGGAACCACAUCUACAGGGGAACGCUCGUGCAGGGAAAUGUGAAUUAGCAGAGGCUUUGAGUCGAGAGUGCAUUAAUUUAAAGUGCGCUGGAAGCGCAUGCAAAAUGCAUGCAAAGUGCACUCUGCUCGGAACGAAAGCACUCCUCGGUCAAUGGGAAGUGAUUUACUGCCUCUCCCUCGGCGGUCGGGGCAGAAUCCAUCUCUCCUUCCCGCAGGUUGCUGAGCCGAACCGGGUCGGGAAGAGCAUCGCCCUCCGAGGGAGCGACUCCCCGCACAUCCCCGGCUUACGGGACGCAGCGCCGCGCUUCCCGGCUGCGGGGGGAGGACGGGCAGGGAGAGGUGCUGAGAGACGGCAGGGAUGGGAGGAGAAGGGAAAGGUGCGCUCGGAUUUAAACGCACGGCGUCCCGCGGCCCGGCGCAGCCUUCGUUUGCAGAGAGGGCCGACGGCCGUGCGGGCGCUGCAGAGCUCCGGCGGCGCUGCAAAGUAGAGGUGCGGUGUUGAAAGGAGCUGAGUGCCGCCAGUUGGGCUUAAAGCCCGAAGAGCUGAGCUUGCAAUGGUGUCCCUCCUGAAAUAGGUGGGUUGGAGAGUGCCAAAAGGCCGUCAAAAGCCCCCUGGUUUGGGGCUUGCGUCGCGUCGGGUGGCACCGCCUGUUUCUCCGCCACGAGGGAAAUGCCCAUAGGGGGUAUUUGGGCCUUUUUGGUGAUGAAAGCCAAUGGGUGUGAGCAGCAGCAGCAAAUCCCUGCUGUGAGGGAGCGGCCAAAAAGCGAGCAGAGGUGAAGCAAAGCUGCACGGCGCCGAAAGCGAACCCUGGGGAGGAAAAGGGUGGAAAAUAGUUGAGCUCUCCUCGAGUUCAGUGUGAAAUCCACUGAUCCACCGGCGGGGCUGAGCUCCCCCAUGCAGGGCUGGGGCUGUGAGCUGCCUGUCUGGGAUUGCCAGCAGAGCGAGCAAAAGCAAUUAACCUAACGAGCAGCGUGGCUCCUGUAGGAAGGAUGCAGGGCGCGGAGCUCGGGGUUUUAAAUCAAUCUCGUGGUGGUGAAGGAUGGGAGAGAUGAGCGCGGCCCCGGAAAGGAGAUGCUGCUUAAUGAGCCCUCGAGAUGUGCUUUUAAGCAGUGUCCUUCCAGAUGGGAUGAGAUGAGUGUUAAACCACGGGAAGGGGUCGGAGUGUUUGGGGGGGUUCCCACCAACGGGGGAUCCGUGCCAGUCCUCUCCAUUGACUCCAGAGGGAGUCGGGAUGGGCAGAGAGAAGAGGGCAGAACCAAUUGGGUCGGGAUGGGACCCUCAAAGGGCACCGGGUCUGACCCCAGGGGUGGGUUUGUGCCCCAUAUAGCACCAGGUCUGACCCCCAGGGACGGAUUUGUGCCCCAUAUAGCACCAGGUCUGACCCCAGGGGUGGGUUUGUGCCCCACGCAGCACCAGAUCUGACCCCCCAGGGAUGGAUUUGUGCCCCAAUGGCCUUUCCCAGGGAUGCACUGAGGUUCCCAUGUUGCUCCCCCAGAGCAUCCCCCAUUGGCACUGCUGGGUCGGGGCCUCCCACCCCCUCCCACCCCAUCCCACUGACCCCACCCUCACCAAUAGGACACCUUCACCCCCCCCCAUUUGGGACUAUUCUCCCCCAAAACACGAGGUUCCCCAUCACCUCCUCUCACCAUCCUGGACCCCCCAGGCGAUGAGGGGCCGCAGCUCCCACCGCCCCGAGCCCCAGAAGUCUAUUUAUUACUCACAGCAAUUAAUAAAGGGCGGGAGGCAGACGAGCAUCUCUCCUGCCUGUUGCUUAAUUAGUGCUCUGCUGGCGGGAGGCGAGGAGGAGGCAGAGGCUGCAGGCAGCUCGCUCGCCCACGACGCGUAAUGAAAGCAGCACAACCCUUCGCGUUAUUUAAUCUAAUAGGAGAAUUAAUAUCUGGAUGGAGGGCGAUCGCUUCUGCUCUUCAGAUGGGGGCACGCAGCGAGGAAGGGGGGGGGGGGGGGACGACACCCAGGGAUGCGCCAUCCAUCUUGCUUACCCCCAAAAUGCCAUUGGAUUGCAUGGUGGUGGUGGCUGUCGGCGGCCUUUUGGGGUCUUUUCUCCCCUUUUUGGCUCAGCGCAGUGAUUGAAACCCACUCCCCACCCUUCCCACGCUGGGUAAAGCCCCCCCCCCCCCCACCCCGAUCUCAACGAGGAGCACUGGAAGGGCUGCUGUCUGUCCAUGCGUGGAGUCUCCCCGGGCUGGGUGACAAAUGGCCCCUGUGACAGUAAUGGCAAAAUUAGAAGCUGCAUCGCCGUCCCCUCCGCCCGCAGCCCGCGCUGCGCUGCGCUCCUCCCCAACACGCAGUGCAAAGAAAGGUCAGCGGGCGCCUCGCAUGUUAAUGCAUGGAGAUGGGGGGGGGGGGG